GAGUUUGAUCAUGGCUCAGAACGAACGCUGGCGGCAGGCUUAACACAUGCAAGUUGAACGCGUGUAGCAAUACACGAGUGGCGCACGGGUGAGUAACGCGUGGGAAUAUGCCCUUCAGUACGGAAUAACGUCGGGAAACUGACGCUAAUACCGUAUAAUGUCUACGGACCAAAGAUUUAUCGCUGAAGGAUUAGCCCGCGUUGGAUUAGCUAGUUGGUGAGGUAACGGCUCACCAAGGCGAUGAUCCAUAGCUGGUCUGAGAGGAUGAUCAGCCACACUGGGACUGAGACACGGCCCAGACUCCUACGGGAGGCAGCAGUGAGGAAUAUUGGACAAUGGGGGCAACCCUGAUCCAGCCAUGCCGCGUGAGUGAUGAAGGCCCUCGGGUUGUAAAGCUCUUUUAUCCCUGAAGAUAAUGACGGUAAGGGAAGAAAAAGCCACGGCUAACUUCGUGCCAGCAGCCGCCGCGGUAAC
rnacentral:rRNA from 1 species